rnacentral:lncRNA from 1 species
GCCUUUUAUUGUCAAGAUGCCAGCGAUAAGGUUGCUGCUGAUGGAGGUAUUAGUGCUCAGUGCUGCGGGAAAGACUCUGGGAUCAGUGUUCAGGAAAUUCCACUUUUUUCCCUCUAGCUUUCCUCAAGAUUAAUUUUGAGAGAAAGACAGUGUCGGGUGACAUCCUGGGCCGAACGCAUGACCUGUCGUACACUGGGUUCCAGAACUGUUACCAAAAGGUCGGGAAUUUACCCAGAAAGGAAAGGUUGGAAAUCUACGCCAAGGUCAGGUUUAGACUCGGAAAGAGUUGGGAUUGGAGACGUAUGAUGUAACAAAGGUACUCCGUGAUGACAAAAAUGUUUUUUUUUUUGGAUCACUUCGAGAUGCGUUUCCAAAACUCUGCUAAUUACUGAAUGAUAUCACCUAGGCUAGCUAUGAUUUAACGUUUUUAAGGCUGAAAUACAUUACACGACUCUUAAAAUCGGAACAGAUUUUAAAACACUAGGCUUCGUACCCUUGCCAACUUUGUGAAUUGUUACAUAGCCCCCUAUAAAAAGUCAAGAUUCAAGAUGUAGCUAUGAUGUAACAAAGGGACUCUGUGAUGACAAAAACUGCUUUUUUCGAUCAUUUCAAGAUUAUUUCCUAAACAAUUCAAAUUACCGAACAAUAUCGCAUAGCAACGAUCACACGUCAUUAUGGCUGGAAGACUUUUAAAUAUAUUUAAAUAGAUAUCAUAUGCUUAAUGACUUUGUAAAUGGUUACAGAUAAAAAGUCGGGAUUCAAGAUGCAGCUAUGAUGUAACAAAGCUCUGAUGACAAAAUAUCUUUACAGAAUGAAUGAUUUAUAGUUACAGAAUGAUAUUGUAAAGCAUCAGUUGCAUUUAAAAUUGGAACAGAUUUUAAAACUAGACAUCAUACACUUAUAGAAGCUUGUUUCCACCAUGGAUAUAAACAAAAUUGCGAUUUUUUUUAUCUCAAAAUUAUAUUUUUUUUUCUCAAAAUUGAGUUUAUGUCUCGCAAUUCGGAC